UUAAGUCAGAAUCCGUGCUAGAAACGAUGAUGUUGGUGUCGCACAUUAGACUUGUGUUUAAAUAGAGCUUUGCUCGUGAACCAAAUAUGGUGGGCUGGGUUGUCUUURCGGAAACGCUUAGGCGACUUGUCUACGAAUUGUAAUCAUAAUAUGGGCGGCGGUGAAUCCUUUGCAGACGACUUGAAUGGGAACGGGGUACUGUAAGUGGUAGAGUAGCCUUGUUGCUACGAUCCACUGAGGUUAAGCCCUUGUUCUAAAGAUUUGUUCA
rnacentral:rRNA from 1 species